GAUUAACGCUGGCGGCGUGCAUGAAACAUGCAAGUCGAGCGCGGCACUUCGGUGUCUAGCGGCGCACGGGUGAGUAACACGUGAGCAACCUACCUUCGAGUCCCGGGAUAGCCCUGAGAAAUCAGGAUUAAUACCGGAUGCGGUCACCGUGAGGCAUCUCAUGGUGAAGAAAGGCGCAAGCCGCUCGAUGACGGGCUCGCGGCCUAUUAGCUUGUUGGUGGGGUAACGGCCUACCAAGGCGAAGAUGGGUAGCUGGUCUGAGAGGACGAUCAGCCAC
rnacentral:rRNA from 1 species